GAUGAACGCUGGCGGCGUGCCUAAUACAUGCAAGUCGAGCGAACAGACGAGGAGCUUGCUCCUCUGACGUUAGCGGCGGACGGGUGAGUAACACGUGGAUAACCUACCUAUAAGACUGGGAUAACUUCGGGAAACCGGAGCUAAUACCGGAUAAUAUAUUGAACCGCAUGGUUCAAUAGUGAAAGACGGUUUUGCUGUCACUUAUAGAUGGAUCUGCGCCGCAUUAGCUAGUUGGAAAGGUAACGGCUUACCAAGGCAACGAUGCGUAGCCGACCUGAGAGGGUGAUCGGCCACACUGGAACUGAGACACGGUCCAGACUCCUACGGGAGGCAGCAGUAGGGAAUCUUCCGCAAUGGGCGAAAGCUUGACGGAGCAACGCCGCGUGAGUGAUGAAGGUCUUCGGAUCGUAAAACUCUGUUAUUAGGGAAGAACAAAUGUGUAAGUAACUAUGCACGUCUUGACGGUACCUAAUCAGAAAGCCACGGCUAACUACGUG
rnacentral:rRNA from 1 species